UACAGAGGGUGCAAGCGUUAAUCGGAAUUACUGGGCGUAAAGCGUGCGUAGACGGUUAUGUAAGUCAGAUGUGAAAGCCCCGGGCUCAACCUGGGAAUUGCAUUUGAGACUGUGUAGCUAGGGUGCGGAAGAGGGAAGCGGAAUUUCCGGUGUAGCGGUGAAAUGCGUAGAGAUCUGGAGGAACACCGAUGGCGAAGGCAGCCCCCUGGGCUAACACUGACGCUCAUGCACGAAAGCGUGGGGAGCAAACAGG
rnacentral:rRNA from 1 species